rnacentral:rRNA from 1 species
AGUGGGGUAAAGAUCUACGUAGACGAGACGGGUACCGGCCUGAGAGGGCGACCGGCCACACUGGGACUGAGACACGGCCCAGACUCCUACGGGAGGCAGCAGUGGGGAAUAUUGCACAAUGGGCGAAAGCCUGAUGCAGCGACGCCGCGUGAGGGAUGACGGCCUUCGGGUUGUAAACCUCUUUCAGCAGGGAAGAAGCGAGAGUGACGGUACCUGCAGAAGAAGCGCCGGCUAACUACGUGCCAGCAGCCGCGGUAAUACGUAGGGCGCAAGCGUUGUCCGGAAUUAUUGGGCGUAAAGAGCUCGUAGGCGGCUUGUCACGUCGGAUGUGAAAGCCCGGGGCUUAACCCCGGGUCUGCAUUCGAUACGGGCUAGCUAGAGUGUGGUAGGGGAGAUCGGAAUUCCUGGUGUAGCGGUGAAAUGCGCAGAUAUCAGGAGGAACACCGGUGGCGAAGGCGGAUCUCUGGGCCAUUACUGACGCUGAGGAGCGAAAGCGUGGGGAGCGAACAGGAUUAGAUACCCUGGUAGUCCACGCCGUAAACGUUGGGAACUAGGUGUUGGCGACAUUCCACGUCGUCGGUGCCGCAGCUAACGCAUUAAGUUCCCCGCCGGGGGAGUACGGA